rnacentral:rRNA from 1 species
CCUACGGGCGGCAGCAGUGGGGAAUAUUGCACAAUGGGCGAAAGCCUGAUGCAGCAACGCCGCGUGAAGGAAGAAGGGUUUCGGCUCGUAAACUUCUAUCAACAGGGACGAAAGAAAUGACGGUACCUGACCAAGAAGCCCCGGCUAACUACGUGCCAGCAGCCGCGGUAAUACGGAGGAUCCGAGCGUUAUCCGGAAUUAUUGGGUUUAAAGGGAGCGUAGAUGGCAGCACAAGUCUGGAGUGAAAUGCCGGGGCUUAACCCCGGAACUGCUUUGGAAACUGUGCAGCUAGAGUGCAGGAGAGGUAAGUGGAAUUCCUAGUGUAGCGGUGAAAUGCUUAGAUAUCACGAAGAACUCCGAUUGCGAAGGCAGCCUACUAAACUGCCACUGACAUUGAUGCUCGAAAGUGUGGGUAUCAAACAGGAUUAGAUACCCGAGUAGUC